UGGGGGAUAUUGCACAAUGGGGGAAACCCUGAUGCAGCGACGCCGCGUGUAGGAAGACGGUCCUCUGGAUUGUAAACUACUGUCUUCGGGGACGAUAAUGACGGUACCCGAGGAGGAAGCUCCGGCUAACUACGUGCCAGCAGCCGCGGUAAUACGUAGGGAGCGAGCGUUGUCCGGAAUUACUGGGUGUAAAGGGAGCGUAGGCGGGAAGGUAAGUUGGGUGUGAAAACUAUGGGCUCAACCCAUAGACUGCAGUUGAAACUGCAUAGCUGGAAUAUGGUUGCUGUUGGCGGAAUGUGUAGUGUAGCGGUGAAAUGCAUAGAUAUUACACAGAACACCUAUUGCGAAGGCAGCUGACAAAACCAUUAUUGACGCUGAGGCACGAAAGUGUGGGGAUCAAACA
rnacentral:rRNA from 1 species